GGGUUGUGAGGUUAAGCGACUAAGCGUACACGGUGGAUGCCCUGGCAGUCAGAGGCGAUGAAGGACGUGCUAAUCUGCGAAAAGCGCCGGCGAGGUGAUAUGAACCCUUGACCCGGC
rnacentral:rRNA from 1 species